CGGGGAAGGGGCGGGGGCGGCCGGGCUGGGCCUCGCCGGGCGGGGGUCGCGGGGCCCCGGCCCUGGUCGGCGCUCCGGAGAUGUCCCGGGGCGUCCCCGGUUCGCAGGCGGGUGGAGGGGGUGUCACGGACACCAGGCCGCGGGCACAGCCCGGUGGCCCUGAGCCGCUGCGGGGCCUGUUGGUGCGGUGUAAAGCUCCCAGAGCCGAGGGGCACUCGGGCCUACGGGCACGUGGCAGAACCAACCCCCGCCCUCACCCAGAGCCCCGGGCACAGCCCCUGCGCUCCCGAGCGGGAUCCAGCCUGGAGCAGCAAGGCCGCCGGUCCGGAUCGUUCAGGCUGGAACAAACAGCUCAGAGGUUUGUAUCCCAGUUUUGUCUCCUGACAAACUGGAGACCACCAAAGCCGAGGCAGAGGCCCCCUUGGUCUUUGUUCAGAACACAAGAAAUGGGUUUAAGUGGCAGCGCUGACGAGAGCAACUGGGAUUACUCACAGUGCGGUUCAAAAAGCCAGAGGCUACAAAUAUCCCCAUGAUUCAUGCAAGAGUUUGCCAGAUGGCUUUUCAUGUUUUGGAGUCUGAGGCUUCUUCAGAAGAGAACUGGCACAAAAUAACUUGCUUUUGACAAUACCACUUCUUAAUAACAUGUAAAGGAAGAGGAAACAUUCCAUGCUCCAUCUAUGCCAAGCAGAAGUCCAGCACUAUCCUCCCCCGCCCCAUAUGGACUGGGACAAAGUGUGAAAAAGCAAAAUUAGCAAACAAGCCAUUGCUAUAAUUGGUAACAGGAGUUUGCUCCCAUAAAAGACAACACCUUGUAGGAUGCUAAAAUGUUCUGGCAACAACUGCACAUGCAAUGUCGAUGUUGUAUUUAAUAAUUCUCAUUCUUGGAGAAGCCAAAAGCACAUCACUUCCUCGGACGGAGGCUGAGCUGAAUCACUGUGUGGGUUUUGCUCUGCUUGGACUAUAUGACACUUGGGGCAGUGUUAUACUCUCACUUUGUUCUAAUUUGUUUCAAACCUCAUUGCUUUGCUUAAUGUCGAAUCAUCACUAAUGAGAGGACCUGGAUUGCACAAGAUGCCCAAAGGCAUAUCUAUUUCAUGCAGACUAAAUACUUUUUUGAUCUAAACUUCCAAAAUACUUUGGAAAGGUUGGGAAACCAACUUGCCACAAUUUUUUUUUCAACUAAAACACUGACACAUGAGCCUAUUUUCUAAAUCUUUCUCUUAAACAGUAAAUGGGUGCAGUUUCACAGUGCCUCCAAUAGAUUUAAGUUGGAGCUUCCAUCUCUUUACCGCAGACUGUGUGUCCUUGCUCCCACAUGGAUUUCAAGUGCUCCAGGUUGUGCACUUCUGCUGAGUAGAACUCUCCCCUCACCUCUCCCUUUAUGCCCUCCUUAUUGGAGACCUCACCAAGCCAUAGGACCUCCUCAUCAAUCUCUUCUUGGCCCUGAACAAGCUGUGCCAUAGCAAGAAGCUCAGUGGGGAACACCGAUGCCUGCAGGGUUUGUCCAUCAUGUCCCCAGGCCAGGCACCACUGACUGACAUCCAGGUUCAGUGGUGCUGUCAGGGAUGCUCAAAAAAAUGCUUUGUCUGUUUCAGAAGGAUGAACAUCCAGGUCAAACUAAUAAUCUCAGCAAAGUUGUAAACAAAUUUUGGUUAAUUACAAUCUGAGGUGAAAGUAUAACUUGUCACAUUAUCAUUAGAAUAAUGAGUCCUAAAAUUAAACUUACUACAGACAGGGUGUCCAGGUGAAGAGUCAAAUAUACCUUGUUCUGUGGAGGCUUUAGAAACAUCACCAUGGGAAACCUUUUCUGCAACUACAGGUAUGCAAAUGCCCACUUGAAUUACAUAGGAUUUACUGAUGUAGAAGUUGCUCUUUUGUUUGUCAUAAGAAAUAUUUACAUUUAAACCAGUUCUUUGAAAGCCUCCAAACAUUCUCUUUUGAAAGCAAAGCAGAAACAUUUGCUCUUUUUAAAAAUAAAUCUAUGGUCAAUUAAUAACACUUUGAGGAUAAGUGUGAUACUUCCAAAGGCUUCAAAACAGCAAGCUAAGAUAAGCCUAUGGUCAGGAAGCUGACAUUCACUAUAAGACAUAUGAAAUGUCUUUGCAAACAUUUUGGAGGAGUCUUCAAACAAAAAUUAAAACAGCCUUUAUAUAACAAUAAAUCAUGGUAUCUUUAAAACCAAAUCUGACUGAAAGGAUUCUCAUUUUCUCCCGUGUUGCAACUGCUUUGUAUUUUUCCAGUAAGAAACAUUCAGCAAUGACCUCUGUGGGAUGUGAUGAGUACAACAGCACUUCCCAGACAGUGAAAUCAUUCUGUACUGAUGCUAAUUGCCAUCCUUAUCACAGAAGUCAAAAAGAAGAGAAAGGUAUGUUGAGGAGAGACCGAAGCCAAGGUCUAGAAAGUCUCUGGUUUUCACCCACGAUUCAGCACAAGGUUAGAGAGAGUCAACAGCUUCUCACCUCAUUCCCGAUAUCAGCAAAGGGAUUGCAUAAUGUUAGCACUUCUAAUCUAAGUAGUAAAUCAAUAUAUGGAACCUUGUGAAUUGUUUAUUUAUAUUAGGAGCAGUGGCUGGUGAAAUCAGCUGUUUCUUAAAUACAACCCUGUUUCUUCACAGAGUGUACAGCUAGAAUCAAAACAACAGAAAACAAACUUUGUACACAAACUUGGUCAUUUUGGAGCAAGGACUCCCCCAGAAAAGUUGCCUGAGUUUUGUCUCAGGCUGGUAAAAUUUUAAUGUGUUCCUUUUUCCUUUGUUUUGUUUUCAGUUGUAUUUCUGCUAUUUCUCAAUAAACUUAGAGCACAUCAUUAAAAAGAAAGCAAAAGCUGAA